AGUAAAAUGGCUGAGAAUUAGGCAAUAAAUUGUAAAUUUAUUUACGGUUAAAAACCUUUUACUA
rnacentral:tRNA from 1 species